CAGACAGCAAAUUUGUACUUCUCCACUAACUCCCUUUCAGCUGGCCACAGCAGAACUGUACAUCUCGGCUCUUUUUUUACAGCUUUUCCAUACUGGGGCCCACUUCCUGCCCAGUUGAGGAAAAAAAUCUGGCCUGAAGAUGAAAUGACUGCUUAACAUUACACUGAAACAUCUGGUACCAUUUUAUGCACAGACCCAUGUCUGCGCGCAGGCGAUUCUAGCGGUCUCUCCAGCGGCACAGCACAUACCCAAACCUCCCCAGGGUGACAUCAUCCCAUAUAUGGACUCUCCAGCCCAGCCCUCCCCCUUUUCCUGGUCCUAAAUUCAUUGCCAGUUCCCCAGUCUGCAGCAAAUGUGCCACGUCAAGACUGAAAAUCACAGCCCUUGAGUGUGGCUCAGUCAGUGCAGCAGAAUUCGGGGGGGAAGCCGAGUGCAACUUUUCCCAAAGACCCGGAGAGGAUUUUAAGCACCCCGAUGGAAGCCUCUGGAGGUCCUGCUCCGUCGCCCCAGUGUUCAGACUACCUGUUCAGGACAAUGCCGUUGUACAGUAGUCUGCACAUUGGUUAGACUGGGCAAGGCAGAGCAACGCCACGGACGGCUGGGGACAAAAGUGGCUGUUUCCCAGGAGAGGACAUUUGUUUGCUCCUCUGUGGAAUCUCAUGCCCAGUGUUUCUCUUCACAGGUUUUGCACACUAGGGACCAAGAAGCCCUCUGGGACACCGCCGGGAAAGCACUGCUCCAGGGAAGACCUGCGGGGGUCAUGGAAUCUAUUCCAGAGGACACUAACCAACCGUGAUCACCUUCGACUAAAGCUUCCCGUGGAGACGAUGGUUGCAUGCACCAUUCCUUAAAUUGAGCAGAGUUAACUGGAUCAAAUUAUUUAUGAGAAAGAGAGGGAAUACAGAAUUACAGUAAUUUUUAAUUUCCACUAGUAUGCUCUUUGUAAGUGAAUCACUCUAUAAAUAUUUUCUGUUGCACUGAAUGCAGCAACAAUAACAAAAUGGGUGCUUAAGGUAUUUGUUUUUGCAUACUCUGACCUUGUAAUCAUUUAAAUAGCAGCCAAGUUUACUGAUGUUUUUGAUUCUUUCAAGGGGGGAAAAAAAAAAAGAAAAAGUCCUCUGCUCAGAAGUGCUGACCAGAAACAGAAUCAGACAUUUACUUGCAAUUAAAUAAAUAAAUGGAAACUUGCACUUAUCAACUCUUCCUUAAAGCUGUACCCUAUCUAAUCACUUCAUAAAUGUUGAUAUGUGUAGAAAACUCAUUUUUUUCACAGUCUCUAAAAACUAUUUUGCUGCCCCUAAACUAGGUCCUAUUUGCUCUGUUCUCAGAAUUUUACAAUUAAAAGGAAAUAAACUGUUUUCUUUAAGAUUCUUUUAAAAAGUUCCUAAUGACAUACUCCUUGGACAAUAAGGUCUGGUUUUGUUUUUAUUUUAAGAAAUCCCACUUAGUGAAAUUUUGACUAUCUAGAUGUUUUGUUUUUGAAAGGGCAGGGGACUUUGUUCAACACCUCUAUAGAUGAGAACUGAUCAUUUAUAUUAAAAUAGCCAGUAGAAUUAAUUCUUGACUCACCAGAAUUCAAUUUUCUGUCUGUCUAUUUCACACAAUUACUUUCUCAUACAAAUUGUGGGGGAAAGUCCCAAGUCUGGUUGUACAUUUGGGAUGUGAAGCGCAGUUUCCUUUAUUGUGUCCAAGGUAGUAUUUUGUAACUGUGUUGCUCUAACAAUGUCCAUCCCACAUUCUGAGCAUCACUGGGGGUGACAGCUUUUUAGUUCAUACCCUUUUGAUUCAUGUCAUGGCCCUGUGGUUGAUUAACAGGAGAACUUACGCUCACAACUGCUUUUCAUUUGGUUUUCAUAUCCAUACUUAAAAAUUUUGCAUUAAAAAGGAUAUGAGACACUGAAAUAAGUUCCUGUUGCUUAAUGAAGUAUUGGUGAAAAAAAUACAUCCCCUUGUAAAAUCCCGCUAUCAAAGCAUCAGACACCAAGGUCGGCUGGCUGAAUUGCCAAAUAUAUUGGGCUCAUUAAUUAUUUUGAAAAUGGCCGCCGUUUCCAUGUAAAUAGGUUUCUUUUUCAUGGUACUUAUCUGCUAUAAGCAACACGUAUAAACAUUGCCUUUAUCUUUAACUGCAGUAUUAAACUAUGCAGAGUUUUUGUGAAGAGGAAAAACAUCUGGUUCAAUUACUCUGAACUCUGACUGCAUGUGGGCCAGGAAUAAUAGGCGCUGGAUUUCAGAAUCAACCUGGUGUGUAAUCUCGUUGUUUGGUUUUUAUCCUUAAGAUUUCACCGUGAGUGUUCUGUUCCGUCAAUCAUCCAUGUGAGCACCUUUGGAACACAUGUAUAAGUGUACUUUCUGAAUAAAGUCAAAAGCCUAACGUGUUUUUAGCUCCAUAACGUUUUAAUGUUUAAUUCUAUUGUGUGUUUUUCUCCCUUUCCCCCUGACACUCCAAAACCACCAAAUCUGGAAAGCAGACUGGUUGUAUCUCCCGUGAGCAAAGGAAACCCGAAGGAACCAGGGCCUGGCUGGACGGAGUUGUCAUGUGUCUGCCUGUCUACACUUGCUGUGCAGAACAUCCGCUCACCUGUACAGCAGGCACAGACAGGCAGUCACAUGACAACCCAGCCUGAAUGACCACCAGCCAUUGAAAGAGAGCAGCCCUCACACCAUAUAGCAUCUACACCACGAGCUACAACCAAAACGAGGGGCGCGGGGGGCGGGCUGGGGGCGGCUGGGGCUUUCAUCUGUUGGUUGAAUACUUAACUCGUAUGUAUUAUUCUUCUUUGAUUUUGACUCGGAUAUUGCAACCCACCAAACGUAAAGUGAGUCAUGCCUAUGGAAUCUAA